CACUGAGGUAUAAGAAGAUUAAGAUGAAAGUGCACGAGUUGGAAAAAACUGAAAACCACAGCUUAAUGCAAAACAGGCAACACAGAAUACAGUACAUGCAAUGAGGAAACUCUCUAAUCACAGUUGAUCUCGGUUGCUACGGUGAUGGUAACCGGGCUGGUCCUGGUAACGGACUGUGAGUUUUGAUUUCAGCUGAAAAAUCAGGCUGUUUGUAAGCUCUGCAGAAUGGCAUGGUGAAACGUGCAGAUGACAAGGAUGCUAGUAAAGCUAGCACUACUGAGAAAAGGCAAGACAAAGACAUGGAGAUUAAACACUUUUUACAGCCACAACUCAGCAAGGUCUAAGGAUUCAGGAUGAGACAACUGGUGUGUUUUUUAUACACUGAGGUAUAAGAAGAUUAAGAUGAAAGUACACGAGUUGGAAAAAACUGAAAACCACAGCUUAAUGCAAAACAGGCAACACAGAAUACAGUACAUGCAAUGAGGAAACUCUCUAAUCACAGGUUAUCAAUUAUUGGUGUCCUGGAUUGCUGAUCAUCAGUAUCAGGUUCAGCGCUGGAAAAAGCAGGAGUCGACCCCCAGCUGAAAUAAUGUAUACAUUUAUCCUAGGCUGUUUCUGGCACUGACCAGUGUGUUGUCUGCUGUACCACUGUGUCUCGUCAUCCUCAGUGAGUGAGAGACAGUCAGAGAAAUGGAGAGGAGAAAAAAUAUUUAAACAGAUUUAGAUUUUAAUUCAGAAGGGUUUCACAGUGAUAAUCCCAGAGAGACUGAAACAUACAGCAGUGGUAUGCACAGACUCACUAAAGGGCAGGUGCCAAAUGUCUGAAAUAUCAGUGAAUUUGACUUGAAGAAUGCUGUUGGACCACCAGAACCCUGCUUUGGUUUCAAAAGCCUCCCCAUUUUUUCACCCCUGAUCUCACUCAUACACCCUAGAGUCCCCAGGAACACACCCGCCAACUGUGAAGCAGGUCAGGUGAACGGUUUAAUGUGACUUCUGUUGAGACUAGUGAUCUGAAACGUGAAUCUGUUCCUUCCAUCUGAGACGAGUGAAGGAAAUGCUUGGAGAAAAAAAUGAGGCAAAGAGAGCCACCUCACAAACAUAAAGGAGUCGAAGUGUGGUGACAAACGAGGGCGGGGUCGCCAACUGCAAAAUGGACAAGACGUUUUGUCUUUUUUGAUUUUUUGGCUGCUAAAUAUUUUGCCACUCAGCAAUAUGUUAUGAUGUUUGGCAUUCAAAUGGACACCAACAUUUAAACCACAUUAAAUUAUGCCAAAUAGUA